GUGGGGAAUCUUAGACAAUGGGCGCAAGCCUGAUCUAGCCAUGCCGCGUGAGUGAUGAAGGCCCUAGGGUUGUAAAGCUCUUUCAGCUGGGAAGAUAAUGACGGUAACCGGAGAAGAAGCCCCGGCUAACUUCGUGCCAGCAGCCGCGGUAAUACGAAGGGGGCUAGCGUUGUUCGGAUUUACUGGGCGUAAAGCGCACGUAGGCGGACUUUUAAGUCAGGGGUGAAAUCCCGGGGCUCAACCCCGGAACUGCCUUUGAUACUGGAAGUCUUGAGUAUGGAAGAGGUAAGUGGAAUUGCGAGUGUAGAGGUGAAAUUCGUAGAUAUUCGCAGGAACACCAGUGGCGAAGGCGGCUUACUGGUCCAUUACUGACGCUGAGGUGCGAAAGCGUGGGGAGCAAACAGGAUUAGAUACCCCAGUAGUCC
rnacentral:rRNA from 1 species